rnacentral:lncRNA from 1 species
GUCUCCACCCGUUGCCCUAGCUAAGGGCAAUUACUAUUCAUUUUUUUGUUUUUUUCACAAAUGUUUUAAUAAAAAUAAUUAAUUUAGAUAAUAUUUUUGGAUAAUAUUUUUGGGUUCGUACAUAUCAAUAUUUAUUAUAAAAUUCAUAUCUCAAUCGGAAAUUUUUUUGGUAUUUAUAGAAAAAAAAAGAGUAUUUUUUUGGUAUUUUUUUUAAAAAAAAUUCAAUUUUUUUCAUUUUUUUAUUGCACAAAAAUUGGCUGCCGUUGGAUUGGAGAAAAAAAAUCUGAUCGGAGAGCUCAGAGUGCGACACGUGGACUUUUAGUAGUACUGUAGCGGAUACUGUAGCACUGCGCGGCACUGUAGCGGGGCACUGUAGCGAUAAUGUAGCUGCUGACGUCAGCAACCGAGUUUUGGACCUGGGGCUGGUUUGGCCUUCGGGCUGGCCCGAGUUGGUGGGUCCCACACCAAACUCGGGCUUGGGCUGCACGCUGGAGGGACUUUUUUUUUUUUUUUUUCUGCCCUUGCCUCGGGCUGGGCUCCCUCGCUGGAGCUGGCCUUA